GAAAUGCGAUAAUUAAUGUGAAUUGCAGAAUUCAGUGAAUCAUCGAGUCUUUGAACGCACAUUGCGCCCCCUGGUAUUCCGGGGGGCAUGCCUGUCCGAGCGUCAUUGCUGCCCUCAAGCACGGCUUGUGUGUUGGGCUUCCGUCCCUGGCAACGGGGACGGGCCCAAAAGGCAGUGGCGGCACCAUGUCUGGUCCUCGAGCGUAUGGGGCUUUGUCACCCGCUCCCGUAGGUCCAGCUGGCAGCUAGCCUCGCAACCAAUCUUUUUAACCAGGUUGACCUCGGAUCAGGUAGGAAUACCCGCUGAACUUAAGC
rnacentral:misc_RNA from 1 species